rnacentral:lncRNA from 1 species
UAGGACUCCCUUUUCAAGAGAACAAAUUUAGAAAUUGGCUCCUUUGAUCAUUAGGUAUGAGUAGGAAUAUUUGUUUAAUGCUCUGCCACCUACAAAUAAGAAAAUAGUGAAAUCACUAAACUUCAGUCAAUCUCAUCUGACCUUGCCAACCUCAAGAACUGUCUCCAUAACAAUCAAAAGUGGUAAUACAUACCUACAAUGGCUUGUUUCCGGAGGAAUCCAUCUGCCAUAUUUCCACUGGCCCUUAAAAAUAUGCUAUCUAAGCAUUAUUCAUUUAGCUUAUGGAUUCGACUCUUCAAAUGUCGACUUUUUAGGAAUAUAAAAACCAAGAAAUAAUCAAUUUCUGUUUUUUUUUUUCAUAAAUAUAACUCAAAUAUUUCCCUCACAGGGAAAUGAGGAGAAAGGAUGAAUAUGCUGGCACCAACGGAGGGCUGGAUCAUCUGUACUGUGAGAGGCAUCUUCUGGGCAUGUGUGGCACUUCACUAUGGACAACUAAGCUCCCUCGGAUACCCACCUCUUGCGCAUCAUACAGGCCAAGAUUCAGUGUCUACCAUGUUGAACAACACCACUCUAGGCAGAGAAAGCAAGAUGAACAAAAAAGCACUGAAGAUCAAGAGAGUAUGAGAACUUGCUUUGGAGGUGGCCAUUUCUCUAGUCUGGCAGGAGUAAAGCUGGAUGAUAAAAUAAAGAAGGAGAAAUUUAAGUGCCUGAAUUAAAUGUCUGGUGAUGAAAAGAGAAAAGAGUGAAGGACUUCUUGAUCUCCCUAAUAGAAAAUGAGUGAGCAGGCUGGAAAAUGAACAGUACAAAUGAACAGUUGGAUAUUACUCAUAAAAAUGAUGCCAAAAAUACAGAAAAUGGAUUUCUUUUAAAAAGAGUUAAUAGUAGGAGCACCUGGGUGGCUCAGUCAGUUCAGGUAAGUGUCUGCUUUAGCUCAGAUCAUGAUCCUGGGCUUCUAGGAUGGAGUCCUGCAUCCGGAUCUCUGCUCAGCAGGGAGUCUGCUUCUCCCUUUCCCCUCUCCCUCUGCUCCUCCCCCUCCGCCCAUGCUCUCUCUCUCAAAUAAUUAAAUAAAAAUCUAUUUUUUAAAAAAAACA